UACGUAGGUGGCAAGCGUUGUCCGGAAUUAUUGGGCGUAAAGCGCGCGCAGGCGGUCCUUUAAGUCUGAUGUGAAAGCCCACGGCUCAACCGUGGAGGGUCAUUGGAAACUGGGGGACUUGAGUACAGAAGAGGAGAGUGGAAUUCCUGGUGUAGCGGUGAAAUGCGCAGAUAUCAGGAAGAACACCCGUGGCGAAGGCGGCUCUCUGGAACGCAACUGACGCUGAGACGCGAAAGCGUGGGGAGCAAACAGG
rnacentral:rRNA from 1 species